rnacentral:rRNA from 1 species
CAGCAGCCGCGGUAAUACGUAGGGUGCAAGCGUUAAUCGGAAUUACUGGGCGUAAAGCGUGCGCAGGCGGUUAUAUAAGUCAGAUGUGAAAUCCCCGGGCUCAACCUGGGAACUGCAUUUGAGACUGUAUGGCUAGAGUGUGUCAGAGGGGAGUAGAAUUCCACGUGUAGCAGUGAAAUGCGUAGAGAUGUGGAGGAACACCGAUGGCGAAGGCAGCCCCCUGGGCCAAUACUGACGCUCACGCACGAAAGCGUGGGGAGCAAACAGGAUUAGAUACCCUGUAGUCCCUGUCUCUUAUACA